GAUGAACGCUGGCGGCGUGCCUAAUACAUGCAAGUCGAGCGAACGGACGAGAAGCUUGCUUCUCUGAUGUUAGCGGCGGACGGGUGAGUAACACGUGGAUAACCUACCUAUAAGACUGGGAUAACUUCGGGAAACCGUAGCUAAUACCGGAUAAUAUUUUGAACCGCAUGGUUCAAAAGUGAAAGACGGUCUUGCUGUCACUUAUAGAUGGAUCCGCGCUGCAUUAGCUAGUUGGUAAGGUAACGGCUUACAAAGGCAACGAUGCAUAGCCGACCUGAGAGGGUGAUCGGCCACACUGGAACUGAGACACGGUCCAGACUCCUACGGGAGGCAGCAGUAGGGAAUCUUCCGCAAAGGGCGAAAGCCUGACGGAGCAACGCCGCGUGAGUGAUGAAGGUCUUCGGAUCGUAAAACUCUGUUAUUAGGGAAGAACAUAUGUGUAAGUAACUGUGCACAUCUUGACGGUACCUAAUCAGAAAGCCACGGCUAACUACGUG
rnacentral:rRNA from 1 species